rnacentral:rRNA from 1 species
UGGGGGAAUAUUGCACAAUGGGCGCAAGCCUGAUGCAGCCAUGCCGCGUGUGUGAAGAAGGCCUUCGGGUUGUAAAGCACUUUCAGCGAGGAGGAGGGUGGUGAACUUAAUACGUUCAUCAAUUGACGUUACUCGCAGAAGAAGCACCGGCUAACUCCGUGCCAGCAGCCGCGGUAAUACGGAGGGUGCAAGCGUUAAUCGGAAUUACUGGGCGUAAAGCGCACGCAGGCGGUUUGUUAAGUCAGAUGUGAAAUCCCCGGGCUCAACCUGGGAACUGCAUUUGAAACUGGCAAGCUAGAGUCUCGUAGAGGGGGGUAGAAUUCCAGGUGUAGCGGUGAAAUGCGUAGAGAUCUGGAGGAAUACCGGUGGCGAAGGCGGCCCCCUGGACGAAGACUGACGCUCAGGUGCGAAA